GGGGGUACAGCUCAGUGCUGGAGCACGUGCUUGGUGUGCAUGAGGUCCUGGGUUCAAUCCCCAGUACCUCGU
rnacentral:tRNA from 1 species